AGCAGCCGCGGUAAUUCCAGCUCCAAUAGCGUAUAUUAAAGUUGUUGCAGUUAAAAAGCUCGUAGUUGAAUUUCGGAAUCAAUUUGUUGGUCGUGCCUCGGUACGUACUGGUAUUAUUGGUUUCUACCUUCUGAAGAACCUUGAUGUCAUUAAUUUGGUGUCUUGGGGAAUCAGGACUGUUACUUUGAAAAAAUUAGAGUGUUUAAAGCAAGCAUACGCUUGAAUACAUUAGCAUGGAAUAAUGAAAUAGGACGUUUGAUUCUAUUUUGUUGGUUUCUAGGAUCGACGUAAUGAUUAAUAGGGAUAGUUGGGGGCAUUAGUAUUCAAUUGUCAGAGGUGAAAUUCUUGGAUUUAUUGAAGACUAACUACUGCGAAAGCAUUUUGCCAAGGAUGUUUUCAUUAAUCAAGAACGAAAGUUAAGGGAUCGAAGACGAUCAGAUACCGUCGUAG
rnacentral:rRNA from 1 species